GUCCAAUUAAAAGUCCAAAAUAAUCAGCUAAACACGUUUCACUCUAUGAGCUUCCUCAGUAGCUGUUUAGUAGCCUCAGGAAUCCUUCUUCUUUUUAAAUGUUCAGAAGUUCUUUUGGGUCCUCCUCUUGGAGUCACAUGGUGUGUAAUUAAUUAAUGUGUUGAGAAAAAAACAUCUGUGGUGGAAAAAUUCUCAUUUGCUGACAACAUUGUCAAUCAUCAAUAAUGUUUAGUUACAUCAUGUUUAUUGGCAGUAACACAAUUUGCAUAACCAAUCAUAUGUAUGGUUGGCGGAAGUGGCAACACUGAAUGAUUUUGCCAACCACCUCCGUCCUCCAUUAUUCACAAGGAUACAUUAAAAACAAU